CGGGUGAGUAACACGUGGGUAACCUGCCCCGAUGAUUGGACAACCCGAGGAAACUCGGGCUAAUACCAAAUGUGCUCUGGGUCCUCAAGGACCUCGAGGAAAGGAAGCUUCGGCCUCCGCAUCGGGAUGGGCCCGCGGCCCAUUAGCUUGUUGGUGGGGUAAUGGCCUACCAAGGCUUCGAUGGGUAGCUGGUCUGAGAGGACGAUCAGCCACACUGGGACUGAGACACGGCCCAG
rnacentral:rRNA from 1 species